AUGAACGCUGGCGGCGUGCCUAAUACAUGCAAGUCGAGCGAACAGACGAGGAGCUUGCUCCUCUGACGUUAGCGGCGGACGGGUGAGUAACACGUGGAUAACCUACCUAUAAGACUGGGAUAACUUCGGGAAACCGGAGCUAAUACCGGAUAAUAUAUUGAACCGCAUGGUUCAAUAGUGAAAGACGGUUUUGCUGUCACUUAUAGAUGGAUCCGCGCCGCAUUAGCUAGUUGGUAAGGUAACGGCUUACCAAGGCGACGAUGCGUAGCCGACCUGAGAGGGUGAUCGGCCACACUGGAACUGAGACACGGUCCAGACUCCUACGGGAGGCAGCAGUAGGGAAUCUUCCGCAAUGGGCGAAAGCCUGACGGAGCAACGCCGCGUGAGUGAUGAAGGCCUUCGGAUCGUAAAACUCUGUUAUUAGGGAAGAACAAAUGUGUAAGUAACUAUGCACGUCUUGACGGUACCUAAUCAGAAAGCCACGGCUAACUACGUG
rnacentral:rRNA from 1 species